GGGGAAUCUUGCGCAAUGGGCGGAAGCCUGACGCAGCAACGCCGCGUGAACGAAGAAGGCCUUCGGGUUGUAAAGUUCUGUCAGGGGGGACGAAGAGGUGACGGUACCCCCAGAGGAAGCCCCGGCUAACUACGUGCCAGCAGCCGCGGUAACACGUAGGGGGCGAGCGUUGUCCGGAAUUACUGGGCGUAAAGGGCGUGUAGGCGGCCGAUCAAGUCAGGUGUGAAAAAUCAGGGCUUAACCCUGAUCGUGCACUUGAAACUGGUUGGCUUGAGUGCAGGAGAGGAAAGUGGAAUUCCCAGUGUAGCGGUGAAAUGCGUAGAUAUUGGGAGGAACACCAGUGGCGAAGGCGACUUUCUGGACUGCAACUGACGCUGAGGCGCGAAAGCUAGGGGAGCAAACA
rnacentral:rRNA from 1 species